rnacentral:tRNA from 1 species
GGGACCAUAGCUCAGCGGGAGAGCACUACGCUGAAGACGUAGGUGUCCUGGGUUCGACUCCCAGUGGUCCCA